AGGGUUACACAGUGCUUACAGGCUCCUGCUUGGCUUUUUUCCCAUUUUUCCUCUGCCUCUCCCUGUUCUUGUCUGCAAUAUCACUCAUUUCA